UCUUGGGUGUGGUACAAGAGCUUGAGAAUCACCAAAUGUGGGUACAAGCUAUAACACAGACAAGCUGAGGCACACCAGCAUAGCCAAGCAAGCCCUGGGCGGACAUCACUGGCUGGAGGUCCCAGGCUUGCAAAGUGACCAAGAAGAAAAAAUCCUACAUCAGUUGUCCACAUCCCAUGUAUUGCAGUUCCAUUCCUUCAUAAUUAGGGCUCUGACCUUGGCAGAGCUGGUCUGUGGAACUCAGAACUCAACCUUCUCUGAAACUCUGUGCUUCCAUAAUUAAAUCCUAAAUUCAUUCCUCAGGUUUUUCUGCACUCCAAUGAUAGGAGAUGAGGGUAUCUUUUUAUGCUUCUGAGGAUGUCCUCUGGAAUUCUGACUUAGCCUGUAAGAGGUGAUUAAUUACCCUCAGCCUUUUACGGUCUUGCCCCAAAGAAUAGAUUAUUUCCUAACAACAACUAUCUAGUUCUAUUGUCUUUAUAAUGACUAUUGCCCUGUAUCUCUCAAAUGCCUGAUACACUACUUGCCAGUAAGUCCUAUUCUACCAGCCAUCCUUCCAUGUACACCAUGGUGGAGUUUUAAUAGUUGCAGCAGUACAGCGGGCCUGAGGCCAUUUGUGCACCCCCAACCACCAGCGGCUGGUCCUCACAGCUGGCUGGCCAGUGGAUGAUUCCACCCUCAAAUCUCAAUUUACAAACAGUCUUCAUUCUUGGAUGAAUCCCCACACUGCCACAGAUCAGAUUUCCUGGGCAUCAGACUCUGAGAAGGAGACCGGGUGCAAGAGGUGCAUGGUGACACAUGCCUGUAAUCCCAGCUUGGGAGGCUGAGGCAGAAGAAUUGCUUGAAUCUGGGAGG
rnacentral:lncRNA from 1 species